rnacentral:rRNA from 1 species
GACGAACCGUGCAAACGUUGUUCGGAUUCACUGGGCUUAAAGGGCGCGUAGGCGGGUGGUCAAGUCAGAGGUGAAAUCUUUCGGCUCAACCGGAAAAGUGCCUUGGAUACUGGUGAACUCGAGGGAGGUAGGGGCAUGUGGAACUUCCGGUGGAGCGGUGAAAUGCGUUGAUAUCGGAAGGAACGCCGGUGGCGAAAGCGACGUGCUGGCCCUCUUCUGACGCUGAGGCGCGAAAGCUAGGGGAGCAAACGGG